rnacentral:rRNA from 1 species
AUUGAACGCUGGCGGCAUGCCUUACACAUGCAAGUCGAACGGUAGCAGGCCUUCGGGCGCUGACGAGUGGCGGACGGGUGAGUAACGCGUAGGAAUCUGCCUGUUAGUGGGGGACAACUUAGGGAAACUUAAGCUAAUACCGCAUACGCCCUACGGGGGAAAGGAGGGGACCUUCGGGCCUUCCGCUAACAGAUGAGCCUGCGUUGGAUUAGCUAGUUGGUAGGGUAAAGGCCUACCAAGGCGACGAUCCAUAGCUGGUCUGAGAGGACGAUCAGCCACACUGGGACUGAGACACGGCCCAGACUCCUACGGGAGGCAGCAGUGGGGAAUAUUGGACAAUGGGCGCAAGCCUGAUCCAGCAAUACCGCGUGUGUGAAGAAGGCCCGAGGGUUGUAAAGCACUUUCAAUAGGGAGGAACACCUGCUGAUUAAUACUUGGCAGACUGACAUUACCUAUACAAGAAGCACCGGCUAACUCCGUGCCAGCAGCCGCGGUAA